UACGUAGGGUGCGAGCGUUGUCCGGAAUUACUGGGCGUAAAGAGCUCGUAGGUGGUUUGUCGCGUUGUUCGUGAAAACUCACAGCUCAACUGUGGGCGUGCGGGCGAUACGGGCAGACUGGAGUACUGCAGGGGAGACUGGAAUCCUGGUGUAGCGGUGGAAUGCGCAGAUAUCAGGAGGAACACCGGUGGCGAAGGCGGUUCUCUGGGCCGAUACUGACGCUGGAGGAGCGAAAGCGUGGGGAGCGAACAGG
rnacentral:rRNA from 1 species